AUAAUACUCACUUGCUAUUACAGAGAGGUCGCUACCAGAGACAACGUUCAGGCACGGAGGGUGGAACAAAGUCCUAUGCAUAGCUUACUUAUUGCAAAUGUUUACCUGCCUUUCUACUGACAACUGAAGCAAUAUUUCUGCAGAGUCUUCACUCGAAUCAGAAGCUUUUAACCUUCAGAAUUUCAAACAAGUGCUUGUAGCUUAUUUUCUCUGUUGUGUCCACAGCCCUAUUGAAUGAACAGUGUUUUGAAUGUGAAGGCUCAGCUGUGAGACAGGCACCACUUCCCAUGUGGAGUCAGCAGGGGAGCAAACUUCUGAGGAACAUUAAUGAAGGGAUUUAAGCUGAUUCUCUGCUGCAGUUGAACCAAAAAGUAUAUUCAUUUGGACAGCAGCAGAAACAGCAAAUUCCAACACAGAGAAGCAGUGUCUGCAAGCACAGGAACGCCCCUGGAGCAGUGAGGGAUCUGACUGAUGGGAUUUCUCCAGAACCAAAACAUGACUCUGAGCAUCUCUCAGCCAGAGGUCAUCCACUGGGAGUCAACACAACACCUAUCAUCAGCUGUUAACAACACCAUAAUCCUGCUGGGUGCAUUGACCUUUGCCCUCCAGCUGUGUUUAUCUCUGUUCUUCAUGCUGAGAUGUUGGAGAUUUGACAACAGAGUACGAAAGGCUCUCAAACACCCGGGGCCUGUUAAACUCAUUGACAUUUAUAAACAGACGAGCUAUCAGCUAUGUGAUCAUGAUGCUGCUGCUUCAUCACCUGCCGUGUCUGUAGCAGUUGAAGAAUAUGAACCCGUCACAAACUCUCUGUUUGCACCUUCCAUACCCUGGGACCUUGUUCAGCGCUGACAGGCUCCUGAUCCUCCUGGCAUUUACCAAAAGUAAAUGAAAAUGUGGACAUUCAAGGUUAACUUCAUGAUUAAUAUAGUGAAUGCAUCUAUUUUAACAUUGUGCAAUCUAUAUGCAACGCAAUAAAAUGUGUCUCUUUUUACUUUAAUGGUAAUACAGUAGUAUUUUUUAAUUUUCUUUAAAAUAAUUUCAAUACCAUAAAAAGUAAUUUAAAGCCGCACUAAUCUUUUAUGAACAACGGGUCAAAUGUGUAAUGUGAAAGGUGUUGAUCAUAGUGAGGAACCCACAGAGAAUUAUCAUCCAACUUAGCAAAUCCUCUCAGCUCUAGAUUGUGUUUCAGCUCAUUGUUUUUAUUUCACCACUCUCAUCAGUGUCUCCUCCAGCAGCAGAACGCAGCAGCUUUCAGUUAUAAAGCUCCAAUAAACUUACAGUAAGAUACCUGUCUAGCACCAAACAGCAGACAAAAUUAGCAAGACCAAAACAGAGCUAAAAGAAGAGGGAACAAUAAUAAUGUUUUUGUUGCUAUGUAUUUGCUAUGUGUGUAAAUAGGCAACCUUUUGUGAACAUGUUAGCCAUAGCCUUUCUAAAGCAGCAACAGUUACUCACAUAAUCACUUCCUCUUUGGUGGUUUUGCCUACAAAAUAAAAGCGCGAGAAGCUUGCUUACUGUAAUGCAGUACUUGGAGUUGAACUGAGCUUUUACUUGAACAACAUUAAGAGUCUGCUGCCUUCUUGACACACCUCUGAAAGAGUCAUCAGAAAAUGUAAUUCCCCUUAAUGUCCUCUGCCUAGAGAUGCGGAAAUGAAAAAGUGUCCAUAAGUUGAUGGAUGUGGAUCAAACACCGAAACACAAACACUGCAGCACAUCCCCUUAUGUGAGAAAUAGUCGCUGCAGAAUGUCUCAUUCUGUCUCAUAUUCUAUUAUAUAUUAUGUUUCAUAUUCUCAACCACCAUUUAAUGGUUGAAAAUACUGCUCUGAUGCAAAACUUACAGCAGUAUAGAAUAAUAAUAUACAGCAGGGGUCUGCUGUAUAUUAUUACUUCUUCUUCUUCUUUUUCAAAUGUACGUGCUCAACAUUGUGAUGAGCGUCUGCCCUGCCUGAAUUCUACCAGAAGUAGAACAAGAACGUAGUGACAAAGCACGUUCUGUAGCACUGUUUGUCCGUUUUCAGCUACUGUACAAGCAUGACGAUGCAAUGUGGCGACGUCCAUGAAAGGGGGGACCUGUGGUUAUGUAGAUAGGAAUGGCUCAUUUCUAAGGUAAUAAAAACAUAACGGUUUAUUAUAUAAGGGCUUUACACACCAGUGAAAACAUAGUAAUGGAUCUUAUAUUGCAUUUCUGCCAAUACAUCAGAAUUAUUUUACACUGAACAUUUAAGCUAUGUGCAGUAUGACAAGUUUUUUUUAAUUAAACCACAUUCUGGUACAACUACUAAAUCUAAUUAUGAACCUGGAAAUUAGCAUAAUAUGACCUCUUUAAUGCAGGCUACAUUGCAAGUAUUUUUGUAGGAGGUGAAACACUGAAACACGUAAAAUGUUAACUGUACUUACCCCAAACAGCCAUGAAUACAGCAAAGAAAACAGUUGCCCCAUUGUCGAAAAGAUGGGUGACCUGAGAAGAAGCACAUGAACAUGAUGCUAAAAAAAUGAUCUGAAAUUAAUCUAAUGUAUCUAAAGUUCACAGCUAAUAUUAAUGUUUGUCAUUACCAACAAAUGCAGUUUAGCUUCAAUCAGUGACCACUGAAUUCCUGAGUCAAACACAUUCUGACAGCAGAGCUGGCCUUAAUUGAGCUAAAAGAUCAAUACGCUUCGUUGUCUCAUAACACACUUUCCAUGAGUACAGUAACAAAGUGCACAACAGCUGUAGGGAACAUUUUGUCCCCUUGCUGUGGUGACAGUACCUUGGCAUAGAUGCAGCUGUCUGACAGUCUUAGGUAGGGGCAGUACUGGUCACAGAUGGGGCACAUGAUGAUGUCAGUGGCCUGGCAGAUUUCCUUACUGGAGAACAACAUUUAGCUCAUCAAAAUCCGAUAGAGUUGGUACUACAAUGUUCCGCUAAAGUAAAGGUGCAUUUGGGUAACAUAGUAAAAGCCCAAAGUGAUGCAACUUUGAAGUUUCUGAAAAAAUGCUAGUAAGAACACCACUGCACUGUUUUUUUUAUGUAAGUUGUUAAUAAAGUUAUGUUCUUCUGAAAAAAA